rnacentral:rRNA from 1 species
UACGUAGGGGGCAAGCGUUGUUCGGAAUUACUGGGCGUAAAGGGCGCGUAGGCGGCAUGGCAAGUCGGGAGUGAAAGCCCUGGGCUCAACCCGGGAACUGCUUUCGAAACUGCCAAGCUAGAGUGCGGAAGAGGCAACUGGAAUUCCCAGUGUAGCGGUGAAAUGCGUAGAUAUUGGGAAGAACACCUGAGGCGAAGGCGGGUUGCUGGGCCGACACUGACGCUGAGGCUCGAAAGCGUGGGGAGCAAACAGG